UACGUAGGGUGCAAGCGUUAAUCGGAAUUACUGGGCGUAAAGCGUGCGUAGGCGGUUUUGUAAGUUUGUCGUGAAAGCCCCGGGCUCAACCUGGGAAUUGCGAUGAAGACUGCAAGGCUUGAAUCUGGCAGAGGGGGGUAGAAUUCCACGUGUAGCAGUGAAAUGCGUAGAGAUGUGGAGGGACACCGAUGGCGAAGGCAGCCCCCUGGGUCAAGAUUGACGCUCAUGCACGAAAGCGUGGGGAGCAAACAGG
rnacentral:rRNA from 1 species